rnacentral:rRNA from 1 species
CAGUAGCCGCGGUAAUACGUAGGGUGCGAGCGUUAAUCGGAAUUACUGGGCGUAAAGCGUGCGCAGGCGGUUCGUUAAGACAGAUGUGAAAUCCCCGGGCUUAACCUGGGAACUGCAUUUGUGACUGACGGGAUAGAGUAUGGCAGAGGGGGGUAGAAUUCCACGUGUAGCAGUGAAAUGCGUAGAGAUGUGGAGGAAUACCGAUGGCGAAGGCAGCCCCCUGGGCCAAUACUGACGCUCAUGCACGAAAGCGUGGGGAGCAAACAGGAUUAGAUACCCCAGUAGUCCCUGUCUCUUAUAC